rnacentral:rRNA from 1 species
AUUGAACGCUGGCGGCAGGCCUAACACAUGCAAGUCGAGCGAGCGGCGGACGGGUGAGUAUAGUAUGGGGACAGUCCGAUAGAGGGGGAUAACUACUGGAAACGCUGGCUAAAACAGCAUACUCUCGGAUAACCCCCAUGGGAUUAUCUCGUAGGUAAGGUAAUGGCUGACCUCGGCGACGAUCCCUAGCUGGUCUGAGCGGAUGAUCAGCCACACUGGAACUGAGACACGGUCCAGACUCCUACGGAGGCAGCAGUGGGGAAUAUUGCACAAUGGGCGCAAGCCUGAUGCAGCCAUGCCGCGUGUAUGAAGAAGGCCCUAGGGUUGUAAAGUACUUUCAGUCGGGAGGCGUUACCGACAGAAGAAGCACCGGCUAACUCCGUGCCAGCAGCCGCGGUAAUUC